AAAAGAAUCAAAAAUUUCGGCUAGAGGAAUACGCAAGUGGCUUUCACACAUUUUCAAGUCAAUUCAUUGGUUUUAUUUGAUUCUGCUUCUUUUCAGUUCAUAUCAUUUUUAUUUGAUCUUUUUGUAAUUCAUACUGUAUUUCUUUGUAGUUCAUUUUAUUUUGAUUUGUUUUAAUCCUAAUUUGUUUUGCUCUUAUUUUACAUUGUAUAUUAUUUUCUCAUGUAUUUCUUUUUAUUGUAUCUUGUUUUAUUUAAAUCUCAUUUUUGUCUCAAUUUAGUUUGUUCUUCAUUUUGUAUUGUUUCUAUUUUAUCUUUAGAUCCUAUUGUAUUUUUUCUUUUUAGUGUAUUUAACUUAAUCUUAUUUAAUUUUUUAAGUAAGCUUAUAUUUUAUUUCAUCUUAAUUUUAGAUUAUUUUGUCUUUUCUUAUUUUAUUAAGUUUCCAGUCAACUUGAUAUAGAUUGAAGUCAUUGUAUUUCAUUUAUUUGAUUUAUUUUCUUUUUAUUUUAACUCUUACUUUUUGUUGUAUUUUAUCUUAUUUUGCUUCACUCUAAUUCUGUUUCUUAUUGCUUACUUUUUUUGAUUUUUAAAAGAGCCGAUAUAUUUUAUUUCAUUUUAUCUGACCUUUUUCAUUUUAUUUCAAUUCCACUAAUUUUGUCUAGUUGUAUUUCAUGUAUUUUAUUUGUUUUUCUAUUUUAUCUUACAGUUUUGCUUGUUUUUAGUGUUUUGUUUUUUUUUAAAUCACAUUCUAAUUAUUUUUCUUUGAUCUUAACUCAUGUUAGUGUUUUAUUUUUUCAUUUUAUUUUGAAUAUUUAUUUAUUGGUAUGCUAUAUCCAUAUAUUUGUAUUUUAUACUACUUUGCUUAAUUUUGUUUCCUCAUCUCGCUCGAUACCCACCAAGUGCGUGUUUUCGUACCGUUGUCCUUGAGGUUGCCGGACGCGUCCGUGUCCUCGCUACCGUUCCUGUCGCCCCCCCACGCCGGAUUUCUGGACCAACAGCAUCUCUGUUGCUUCUGCUGCUCAGAGGUGGAUGCUACAACACAUUUCGGUGUAGGGCUACCUGUGUGCGACACCGACGGGGGUCUCCGGCUGCUGCUGUUCCAGCUGCUCGGUCAGCUCCCGCUGUCUGUUGGAGACGUCCUGGAUGUGGAAGAACGCGGCGCUCAGCUCCUCCUGAAAGCGGAAACAGUGCGGUUGCUCGCGAAGAACGAGAGGAACACGAGGAAGAAGAUGAAAACGAUGAAGACGUCCCUCCCCUGCAAACAGCAUCGUGUUUGCUCCACACCACAUCUGCACGCCUUUGCUUCACAGAGUCCAGAAUGAGAAACAACACCUCCUCCGUCCACCCUCAUCCUGAACAUGGGGACACCUCAGGGAUGCGUCCUCGGUCCUCUUUUGUCCGCCCUCUUUACACAUGGCUGCGCUCCCAUUUACCCCAACAACGCCAUCGUCAAAGUUUCUGACGGCACCACCCUUGUGAGACUGCAGGGACAACGACGACUCAGCCCACACCAGGGGUGUCAAACUUAUUUUUUGUCACGGCCCCCAUCGUAGGUACGGUUUUCCUCAGAAGAUCGUU